AACUUUCAACAACGGAUCUCUUGGUUCUGGCAUCGAUGAANAACGCANCGAAAUGCGAUAAGUAAUGUGAAUUGCAGAAUUCAGUGAAUCAUCGAAUCUUUGAACGCACAUUGCGCCCCUUGGUAUUCCGAGGGGCAUGCCUGUUCGAGCGUCAUUA
rnacentral:rRNA from 1 species